rnacentral:rRNA from 1 species
UGGGUAACCUGCCUCAAAGAGGGGAAUAGCCUCCCGAAAGGGAGAUUAAUACCGCAUAAUAUGUUUAGGUCGCAUGACUUUAACAUCAAAGGAUUUUCUUUUAGAAAUUCCACUUUGAGAUGGACCCCGCGGCGCAUUAGCUAGUUGGUGAGGUAACGGCUCACCAAGGCAACGAUGCGUAGCCGACCUGAGAGGGUGAUCGGCCACAUUGGAACUGAGACACGGUCCAGACUCCGUAGGGAGG